AAAAAAAGCUGUUAUUUCAGCAUGCGUUUCCGGCUGAAUUGAAAUAUUGACUAGUAAAUGGGGUUUUAUUUUUAGCCCCGCCUCUUAUAUUUUAUUAAAGGGGCGUGGCUAAGCAUAUUUCACCCAAUCAGAGUCAUCUGUAAACAACUUUUAUUUCAGCAUCUAGUCCCAGCUGAAAUGGAAUAUUGAUUUUGGGCGGGGUUUUAUUUUAGAGCUCCGCCUCUUAACUUUCACUCGCAGCAAAUUAACUGUUAGAGAGGCGUGGCUAAGCAUAUUUCACUUAAUUCACUCGAAGUAAACUAAACAGUAAAGGGGCGUGGCUAAGCAUAUUUCAUCCAAUCAGAGUCAAUCAGAGACAAUUUUUAUUACAGCAUGUAUUUCCAACUGAAAUGGGGUUUUAUUUUAGAGCUCCGCCUCUUGUCUUUCACUCACAGCAAACUAAUUGUUAAAGUCUGAAGCGAAAUAUUGACUAGAGGGCAACUUACAACUAAUUGUUAAAGGGGCGUGGCUAAGCAUAUUUCGUCCAAUCAGGGUCAUCAAAAAGCAACUUUUAUUUCCAACUGAAAUGGAAUAUUGAUUAGUGGGCAGGGUUUUAUUUUAGAGCCCCUCCCCUUAACUCUCACAGUUAAAGUAGCUGUUAGAGGGGCGUGGCUAAGCAUAUUUUACC
rnacentral:lncRNA from 1 species